UAGGGAAUCUUCGGCAAUGGACGAAAGUCUGACCGAGCAACGCCGCGUGAGUGAAGAAGGUUUUCGGAUCGUAAAACUCUGUUGUUAGAGAAGAACAAGGACGUUAGUAACUGAACGUCCCCUGACGGUAUCUAACCAGAAAGCCACGGCUAACUACGUGCCAGCAGCCGCGGUAAUACGUAGGUGGCAAGCGUUGUCCGGAUUUAUUGGGCGUAAAGCGAGCGCAGGCGGUUUCUUAAGUCUUAUGUGAAAGCCCCCGGCUCAACCGGGGAGGGUCAUUGGAAACUGGGAGACUUGAGUGCAGAAGAGGAGAGUGGAAUUCCAUGUGUAGCGGUGAAAUGCGUAGAUAUAUGGAGGAACACCAGUGGCGAAGGCGGCUCUCUGGUCUGUAACUGACGCUGAGGCUCGAAAGCGUGGGGAGCAAACAGG
rnacentral:rRNA from 1 species